rnacentral:rRNA from 1 species
UGCAUAAGGGAGGAGAACCAACAGGGUAUUGCCUCAGUAACGGCGAGUGAAGCGGCAAGAGCUCAAAUUUGAAAUCUGGCCCCCCCCGGGUCCGAGUUGUAAUUUGUAGAGGAUGCUUCGGGCGUAGGUCCGGCCUAAGUCCCUUGGCACAGGGCGUCAUAGAGGGUGAGAACCCCGUAUGCGGCCGGGUGCCUAAACCCUUGUGAAGCUCCCUCGACGAGUCGAGUUGUUUGGGAUUGCAGCUCAAAAUGGGUGGUAAAUUUCAUCUAAAGCUAAAUACCGGCCAGAGACCGAUAGCGCACAAGUAGAGUGAUCGAAAGAUGAAAAGCACUUUGGAAAGAGAGUUAAAAGUACGUGAAAUUGUUGAAAGGGAAGCGCUUGCGACCAGACUUGGGCGCGGCCGAUCACCCGGCGUUCUCGCCGGUGCACUCGGCCGCGUGCCAGGCCAGCAUCGGUUCCGGCGGCCAGACAAAGGCCGGGCGAACGUGGCUCCCUCCGGGAGUGUUAUAGCGCCCGGCGCCAUGUGGCCUGCUGGGACCGAGGACCGCGCCUCUGGCUAGGAUGCUGGCGUAAUGGUCGCAAGCGACCCGUCUUGAAACACGGACCAAGGAGUGGAAUAAUCAUGCGAGUGUUUGGGUGUAAAACCCAUGCGCGGAAUGAAAGUGAACGGAAGUGAAAUCCCGCCAGGGCGCAUCAUCUACCGAUCCUGAUGUCUUCAGAUGGAUUUGAGUAACAGCAUGGCUGUUCCGACCCGAAAGAUGGUGAACUAUGCGUGGAUAGGGUGAAGCCAGAGGAAUCUCUGGUGGAGGCUCGCAGCGGUUCUGACGUGCUAAUCGAUCGUCAGAUCUGUACAUAGGGGCCAAUGACUAAUCGAACCAUCUGUAGCUGGUUUCAUGCCAAAUUUUCCCUCGGGAUCCCCAGGUACUAGAUGGUUCGAUUAGUCUUUCGCCCUAUGCCAGAUUUGAAGAUCGAUUUGACGUCAGAACGCUGGCGAGCUCACAGAAGUUUCUUCUGGCUUACCUAUCACGCUUAGUUACAUCUUUCGGGGUGGAAACAGGCAUGGCUCUACUCAAAUCAUCGAAGAACAUCAGGGAAUGCGGGUGCAUUAAGGCGCCUGGGCGGGAUUCCCUCUUCUCUUUUCAUUUCGCAGGGGGUGUAACAAACAUUCGAGAUUAUUCAUCUUGAUGCCGGUUUUUAGAAAGAGG